GAUGAACGCUGGCGGCGUGCCUAAUACAUGCAAGUCGAGCGAACGGACGAGAAGCUUGCUUCUCUGAUGUUAGCGGCGGACGGGUGAGUAACACGUGGAUAACCUACCUAUAAGACUGGGAUAACUUCGGGAAACCGGAGCUAAUACCGGAUGAUAUUUUGAACCGCAUGGUUCAAAAGUGAAAGACGGUCUUGCUGUCACUUAUAGAUGGAUCCGCGCUGCAUUAGCUAGUUGGUAAGGUAACGGCUUACCAAGGCAUCGAUGCAUAGCCGACCUGAGAGGGUGAUCGGCCACACUGGAACUGAGACACGGUCCAGACUCCUACGGGAGGCAGCAGUAGGGAAUCUUCCGCAAUGGGCGAAAGCCUGACGGAGCAACGCCGCGUGAGUGAUGAAGGUCUUCGGAUCGUAAAACUCUGUUAUUAGGGAAGAACAUAUGUGUAAGUAACUGUGCACAUCUUGACGGUACCUAAUCAGAAAGCCACGGCUAACUACGUG
rnacentral:rRNA from 1 species